rnacentral:rRNA from 1 species
UGGGGAAUAUUGCACAAUGGGCGCAAGCCUGAUGCAGCCAUGCCGCGUGUAUGAAGAAGGCCUUCGGGUUGUAAAGUACUUUCAGUCGGGAGGAAGGUGGUAAGGUUAAUAACCUUGGCAAUUGACGUUACCGACAGAAGAAGCACCGGCUAACUCCGUGCCAGCAGCCGCGGUAAUACGGAGGGUGCAAGCGUUAAUCGGAAUUACUGGGCGUAAAGCGAACGCAGGCGGUUGAUUGAGUCAGAUGUGAAAUCCCCGGGCUUAACCCGGGAAUUGCAUCUGAUACUGGUCAGCUAGAGUCUUGUAGAGGGGGGUAGAAUUCCAGGUGUAGCGGUGAAAUGCGUAGAGAUCUGGAGGAAUACCGGUGGCGAAGGCGGCCCCCUGGACAAAGACUGACGCUCAGGUGCGAAAGCGUGGGGAGCAAACAGG